rnacentral:rRNA from 1 species
GACGAACGCUGGCGGCGUGCUUAACACAUGCAAGUCGAACGGAAAGGCCCUGCUUUUGUGGGGUGCUCGAGUGGCGAACGGGUGAGUAACACGUGAGUCACCUGCCCUUGACUUUGGGAUAACUUCAGGCAACUGGGGCUAAUACCGGCUAGGAGCUCCUGCUGCAUGGUGGGGGUUGGAAAGUUUCGGCGGUUGGGGAUGGACUCGCGGCUUAUCAGCUUGUUGGUGGGGUAGUGGCUUACCAAGGCUUUGACGGGUAGCCGGCCUGAGAGGGUGACCGGCCACAUUGGGACUGAGAUACGGCCCAGACUCCUACGGGAGGCAGCAGUGGGGAAUAUUGCACAAUGGGCGGAAGCCUGAUGCAGCAACGCCGCGUGCGGGAUGACGGCCUUCGGGUUGUAAACCGCUUUCGCCUGUGACGAAGCGUGAGUGACGGUAAUGGGUAAAGAAGCACCGGCUAACUACGUG